rnacentral:rRNA from 1 species
GGGACUGAGACACGGCCCAAACUCCUACGGGAGGCAGCAGUAGGGAAUCUUCCACAAUGGACGCAAGUCUGAUGGAGCAACGCCGCGUGAGUGAAGAAGGCUUUCGGGUCGUAAAACUCUGUUGUUGGAGAAGAAUGGUCGGCAGAGUAACUGUUGUCGGCGUGACGGUAUCCAACCAGAAAGCCACGGCUAACUACGUGCCAGCAGCCGCGGUAAUACGUAGGUGGCAAGCGUUAUCCGGAUUUAUUGGGCGUAAAGCGAGCGCAGGCGGUUUUUUAAGUCUGAUGUGAAAGCCCUCGGCUUAACCGAGGAAGCGCAUCGGAAACUGGGAAACUUGAGUGCAGAAGAGGACAGUGGAACUCCAUGUGUAGCGGUGAAAUGCGUAGAUAUAUGGAAGAACACCAGUGGCGAAGGCGGCUGUCUGGUCUGUAACUGACGCUGAGGCUCGAAAGCAUGGGUAGCGAACAGGAUUAGAUACCCUGGUAGUCCAUGCCGUAAACGAUGAAUGCUAGGUGUUGGAGGGUUUCCGCCCUUCAGUGCCGCAGCUAAGCAUUAAGCAUUCCGCCUGGGGAGUACGACCGCAAGG